UUCCUUUCUGAGCUGGGUCUGGACAGAGGAGACGAAGGGGAGCAGGAAUCUUGGGACUCUGAGUCCGGAUCAGAAAAUCCCAAAUUACAACAUGAAGAGAAUCAAAGCGUACUCACUAAGGAUCAAGAAGAGAUACCCACUGUUAAAGAAGACAAUAAAGAAACUGUCAGCAGCAGUAAGGCAGAUAAUGGAGGAGCAGAGGUUGAUAAAGAUGAUACUACGCAGAGAGAGGUAAGUCCAUUGACCCAGUGCCAAUAUAUGUAAACAAAACUGCUUCACUGGAUCAAAUGGCAUCUUUAUUCUCAUUAUC
rnacentral:lncRNA from 1 species